rnacentral:rRNA from 1 species
CCUACGGGUGGCAGCAGUGGGGAAUAUUGGGCAAUGGGCGCAAGCCUGACCCAGCAACGCCGCGUGAAGGAAGAAGGCUUUCGGGUUGUAAACUUCUUUUAAGGGGGAAGAGGAGAAGACGGUACCCCUUGAAUAAGCCACGGCUAACUACGUGCCAACAGCCGCGGGAAUACGUAGGUGGCAAGCGUUGUCCGGAUUUACUGGGUGUAAAGGGCUUGCAGCGGGGAGGACAAGUCUGAUGUGAAAUCCAGGGGCUCUAACGCGGAACUGCAUUUGAAACUGUUUUUCUUGAGUACCGGAGAGGUCAGCGGAAUACCUUGUGUAGCGGUGAAAUGCGUAGAUAUAAGGAAGAACACCGGUGGCGAAGGCGGAUGACUGGACGGCUACUGACGGUGAGGCGCGAAAGCGUGGGGAGCAAACAGGAUUAGAUACCCGUGUAGUC